rnacentral:rRNA from 1 species
UACGGGGGGGGCAAGCGUUGUUCGGAAUUACUGGGCGUAAAGGGCUCGUAGGCGGCCAACUAAGUCGGAUGUGAAAUCCCCAGGCUUAACCUGGGAACUGCAUCCGAUACUGGAUGGCUUGAAUCCGGGAGAGGGAUGCAGAAUUCCAGGUGUAGCGGUGAAAUGCGUAGAUAUGCGGAGGAACACCGAUGGCGAAGGCAAUCCCCUGGGCCUGUACUGACGCUCAUGCACGAAAGCGUGGGGAGCAAACAGG